CCCGGCCCCGUGGCCCGAAGCCUCUGUCUGGUGCGACCGACCCGCUCGUCUCAGCGGGUGCCCGGUGCAGUCGGUGCCAGGGGCUCGGCCUGAGGACAUUGUGUUGUGGCCCUGUAUUUUCUUUCCGUACAUUAAAGCAGACCGAAGCAUUUGCUACAUUUCUGAAGUAUUUAUGAGGAUGAUACACAGGAGAAGCAAGCUGCCAGUCCCCGGAAUGCCCUCGAGUGCUAGACUUUGGACAGAAAUUACAGUCUUGAUGCAGGAUUUCGUUCAGAGCAACGAUGUUCGAACGAAUUCAAUUUUCUUGCUGCUGAAGAAGAUACUGAACCGGGGCAAGACAAAACAAAAGAGAUGAGAGAAAUGGAGAGGAUUACAGAAUGAUUUGGAGAAAAGUAGAAUAAUGCUGCUUAGGUGUUGCCUAAUAGAUGCCUCAGGAGCCCAUGAUGUUGCUGCAUGGCUUAAAUCAUUGGACUAUUCUUGCAAACAGUUCUCCCAUUUAAUUUUAAUACCUUAAAGAAUGACUAGGUCUCAUAAUAUUGAUCUAUUCACUUCCCAUCCUUUUAUAGCCACCUGUAUAACUUCAGAUCCUUAAAUCUGACAACUGUGUCCCCAAGAUGACUGUACUUUAUGUUAAACUAUUCCUAGCUUCCAUCACGGAUCUAACAUUAGAAUAGGAAAUAUUGUGUGGGUGUAGUGUGCCUCCUUGUUGCGUCACCUGGCCCCAGCUGGAGCCAGGUGGGGCCAGGUGACUCCUUUAGCUGUGUGUUGUGCCUAUGGAUUUAAUUUCCAAGUACUCUCUAGGUGUGUUUCCAGUACACACAACUUUAAAUGAUUAAGUGAUAUCUGUCUCAAAGACCUCUAGACACCAACAAGCAACCUCCUUUUAAAUGGUGCAAACUGGAACCAACUUGUCCAAAUCCAAUGCUAUCCCAUACACAGACUUGCAUAGAAGAAGGCAUGUUAGAAGAAAGCAAGCAGCCUAGAUAAACACUAAAGGUUGAUGUCCAUGUAGUGCCUAGAAAGAUCCAGUGAUUUGUAGAUUCCUGGAACAGCUGUUGGUUCUGCAGCAAAGUAACUUCCUCUCUUAUGUGCAGUGCAGUACUUUAUAAGAUUAUUCUUCUACUUUCUUUCCUAAAUAUACCUGCUCCUCAUUCUAGAAGACUUCAAACCAGCUUACAUGAUAAACUUCUGCAAAGGUCAGUGGGUCUCAUUCCUCCAAAAAUCCUAGAGCUAAAUACUUGCAUUUUCACAAAAAAAAAAAAAAAAAAGAGGAGAGGAAACUACUGAUUUGGAGCUGAAGAUGCACUUUAAUGUGGGUCAAAUUAUAGAUGUAGUAGAGAUUUGGAGUAUGCUCUAUGUUUUUAAACAAGCACCACAGCACAAAUGAAAUAAAGACUUAGAAAGCAGUCUGGAAGCCAGCCCUGGAUUAUAUAGCUUGCGGAUGAAAUGCUAACUUAUAAAAUGUGGAUAACUGCUAACUUAAGGUACGUUAGAUGAUACCUUUUGUGCAGUACUUGAACAGGAGAGGCUACAGAAGUACCAAUUAGCUAUUUUUUUUUCCUUUGCCCUACUAAUGGGGAUGGAUAUAAAACAAUUUUUAAAUACCAGUGCAAAACCCUACUUCUAAUGCAGCAAGUUUUAACUUUUUUAUUGCCUUUAACUCAGCAUCGCCCUGUAUUUUUGUUAACUCUGCCCCAUAGUGAACUGCCAAGAAGGAAUCUGAUAUGCUCAUCUCUUUAGGUACUAAAUAUAGUUUUCCCCCCUUUAUUUAGAUCUGAGGAACCAAGAGUCCACUUUUGUCACAGAUGUUUGUUACAGCUGCUGUAAAAUUCUCAGUGGGCCAUAUGAAAAACACGUUAGUGUUGGCUCUAGAUAUGCCAGCUGCAUCUGACAAUAUGCUUGUUAGUUAGCAUGCGUUUAUAAUCCAAGCCCCAUCAACAGGCCUAGCCAUGCCUGCAUCACUCUGGUUUUCUAGUUGGUUAUUAAGAGAUGGGUGGAACAAACUAUACUGCAGUGAGAAAAUAAAUUAAUAUAAUGUUUAGCAGCAGCAUCUGGAAAUAUAUAGUUUGGAAUGUCCCACAUCUUCACCAUGAUAAAAGGAAGCCAAGGGUUCAUAACUGCAAUAAGGCAUGUGUGUUUUAGAAACAAAAUUCCUCAUUUUCUGCUGUGAAUUAGCUGUCAAGUCUCUGGACAGAACCAACCCUUUAUUGAUCAGUUUUCCUACUCAUGUGAAAAUUUCUCUUGCCAAUUCAUUCUAAUGCACAGAUGAGGACAAGUUAUAGACUUUCCCUUAAUACAGUCUUUAGUGAAAUGCAUUACUGUGGCACUUGUGAACACAGUUCACAGGAUGGGAAUGAGCUCAAACAGCAGCUGCAUGUUUGCUGGUAUGCAGACGCACAGAGACAUAGUGGUGUUUGAUCCAAGAAGUAAAGGUGCACUGCAUACAGUGUGUUCACUGAACGUAGGACAGGAAGAAACCUCUUGGAUCAUAGGAUCCACUCCCAUGCUAUCACAGACACAGUGUAAUAAUCCUUAAAUCUACUGAGUUCUGUCUUUUACGUUCUGGAACAGCUUUUCAGUGGGAGGAGAGGGCAAACUACCUCUUUCUGAUUGAUUGGCAUAAUGGUUAGAAACCUUUUUAACUUCCUGUAUUCAUGCUCGCUUAUCCUUGUGUCAACAAUGUCACCUUAACCUAAAUACACAGGGGGAAAAAGCACUAUUUAGAGAGAGCAGUCAAAUCUCUUCAGUCCUAAGAGUUUUCUUGAUCUUUCUUUCUGUUCCUCUUGUAUGCCAAACUUGUCAUCAAGUUUAAUUGG